GGGGGGGUAAGCGUUGUUCGGAAUUACUGGGCGUAAAGGGCUCGUAGGCGGCCAACUAAGUCAUACGUGAAAUCCCUCAGCUUAACUGGGGAACUGCGUGUGAUACUGGAUGGCUUGGAUUUGGGAGAGGGAUGCGGAAUUCCAGGUGUAGCGGUGAAAUGCGUAGAUAUCUGGAGGAACACCGGUGGCGAAGGCGGCAUCCUGGACCAAUAUUGACGCUGAGGAGCGAAAGCCAGGGGAGCAAACGGGAUUAGAUACCCCGGUAGUCCUGGCCCUAAACGAUGAAUGCUUGGUGUAGCGGGUAUCGAUCCCUGCUGUGCCGAAGCUAACGCAUUAAGCAUUCCGCCUGGGGAGUACGGUCGCAAGGCUG
rnacentral:rRNA from 1 species